rnacentral:rRNA from 1 species
GCUUAACACAUGCAAGUCGAGGGGCAGCAUGGUCUUAGCUUGCUAAGGCCGAUGGCGACCGGCGCACGGGUGAGUAACACGUAUCCAACCUGCCGUCUACUCUUGGACAGCCUUCUGAAAGGAAGAUUAAUACAAGAUGGCAUCAUGAGUCCGCAUGUUCACAUGAUUAAAGGUAUUCCGGUAGACGAUGGGGAUGCGUUCCAUUAGAUAGUAGGCGGGGUAACGGCCCACCUAGUCUUCGAUGGAUAGGGGUUCUGAGAGGAAGGUCCCCCACAUUGGAACUGAGACACGGUCCAAACUCCUACGGGAGGCAGCAGUGAGGAAUAUUGGUCAAUGGGCGAGAGCCUGAACCAGCCAAGUAGCGUGAAGGAUGACUGCCCUAUGGGUUGUAAACUUCUUUUAUAAAGGAAUAAAGUCGGGUAUGGAUACCCGUUUGCAUGUACUUUAUGAAUAAGGAUCGGCUAACUCCGUGCCAGCAGCCGCGGUAAUACGGAGGAUCCGAGCGUUAUCCGGAUUUAUUGGGUUUAAAGGGAGCGUAGAUGGAUGUUUAAGUCAGUUGUGAAAGUUUGCGGCUCAACCGUAAAAUUGCAGUUGAUACUGGAUAUCUUGAGUGCAGUUGAGGCAGGCGGAAUUCGUGGUGUAGCGGUGAAAUGCUUAGAUAUCACGAAGAACUCCGAUUGCGAAGGCAGCCUGCUAAGCUGCAACUGACAUUGAGGCUCGAAAGUGUGGGUAUCAAACAGGAUUAGGUACCCUGGUAGUCCACACGGUAAACGAUGAAUACUCGCUGUUUGCGAUAUACUGCAAGCGGCCAAGCGAAAGCGUUAAGUAUUCCACCUGGGGAGUACGCCGGCAACGGUGAAACUCAAAGGAAUUGACGGGGGCCCGCACAAGCGGAGGAACAUGUGGUUUAAUUCGAUGAUACGCGAGGAACCUUACCCGGGCUUAAAUUGCAGAUGAAUUACGGUGAAAGCCGUAAGCCGCAAGGCAUCUGUGAAGGUGCUGCAUGGUUGUCGUCAGCUCGUGCCGUGAGGUGUCGGCUUAAGUGCCAUAACGAGCGCAACCCUUGUUGUCAGUUACUAACAGGUUCCGCUGAGGACUCUGACAAGACUGCCAUCGUAAGAUGUGAGGAAGGUGGGGAUGACGUCAAAUCAGCACGGCCCUUACGUCCGGGGCUACACACGUGUUACAAUGGGGGGUACAGAGGGCCGCUACCACGCGAGUGGAUGCCAAUCCCCAAAACCUCUCUCAGUUCGGACUGGAGUCUGCAACCCGACUCCACGAAGCUGGAUUCGCUAGUAAUCGCGCAUCAGCCACGGCGCGGUGAAUACGUUCCCGGGCCUUGUACACACCGCCCGUCAAGCCAUGGGAGCCGGGGGUACCUGAAGUGCGUAACCGCGAGGAGCGCCCUAGGGUAAAACUGGUGACUGGGGCUAAGUCAUA